rnacentral:lncRNA from 1 species
AUGCCAUUUUGGCAAAUUCAGACUCCGGCAUUCUCACAAAACAACGGCUUCCUAACCGUCUUAAAUCGGUUCAAAUAUUCUUCAAUCAAUUCGCCUGUUCUCUGUUUGAACUGAGCUAGAUCGGCCACCAAUAAUUUCGAUUCUGACCUAUAGAAUUGCUCAUGAAAUUUUCUUUCUAAUUCGUCCCAGUCUCGGACGGAAUUAGCCGGUAAACUAGUAUAUCAAGUGA